GUUCCUACGGGGGGCAGCAGUGGGGAAUAUUGCACAAUGGGGGGAACCCUGAUGCAGCGACGCCGCGUGGGUGAAGGAGUAUUUCGGUAUGUAAAGCCCUAUCAGCAGGGAAGAACAAUGACGGUACCUGACUAAGAAGCACCGGCUAAAUACGUGCCAGCAGCCGCGGUAAUACGUAUGGUGCAAGCGUUAUCCGGAUUUACUGGGUGUAAAGGGAGCGCAGGCGGCACGGCAAGCCUGAUGUGAAAGCCCGCGGCCCAACCGCGGGACUGCAUUGGGAACUACCGGGCUGGAGUGCCGGCGAG
rnacentral:rRNA from 1 species